AUGUACAUUCCUACAUCAUAGCAUUAAUGCACUAGAUCCCAUUGCAACUCUAGAUUUAAGCACACUCAUGAUAGAUUAGUACUGGGAUAGGUGACCGCCCAGGAAGUCCUAGUGUUUUACAUG
rnacentral:rRNA from 1 species